CCUACGGGUGGCAGCAGUGGGGAAUAUUGCACAAUGGGCGCAAGCCUGGUGCAGCCAUGCCGCGUGUGUGAAGAAGGCCUUCGGGUUGUAAAGCACUUUCAGCGGGGAGGAAGGCGUUAAGGUUAAUAACCUUGUCGAUUGACGUUACCCGCAGAAGAAGCACCGGCUAACUCCGUGCCAGCAGCCGCGGUAAUACGGAGGGUGCAAGCGUUAAUCGGAAUUACUGGGCGUAAAGCGCACGCAGGCGGUCUGUCAAGUCGGAUGUGAAAUCCCCGGGCUCAACCUGGGAACUGCAUUCGAAACUGGUAGGCUAGAGUCUUGUAGAGGGGGGUAGAAUUCCAGGUGUAGCGGUGAAAUGCGUAGAGAUCUGGAGGAAUACCGGUGGCGAAGGCGGCCCCCUGGACAAAGACUGACGCUCAGGUGCGAAAGCGUGGGGAGCAAACAGGAUUAGAUACCCCAGUAGUC
rnacentral:rRNA from 1 species